rnacentral:rRNA from 1 species
UACGGGGGGGGCAAGCGUUGUUCGGAAUUACUGGGCGUAAAGGGCUCGUAGGCGGCCAACUAAGUCAGACGUGAAAUCCCUAGGCUCAACCUAGGAACUGCGUCUGAUACUGGAUGGCUUGAAUCCGGGAGAGGGAUGCAGAAUUCCAGGUGUAGCGGUGAAAUGCGUAGAUAUCGGAAGGAACACCUGUGGCGAAAGCGGCUCACUGGACCAUAACUGACGCUGAGGCGCGAAAGCUAGGGGAGCAAACAGG